rnacentral:lncRNA from 1 species
GUCAUUAAAUGACAUGCAAAAGACCAUGUUAUCUCUAGUAAUAUACUAUAAGUUAUUAAAUGACAUCCUAAAAGUAGGGGCACUGUUGAAAAAAGUGUCAAAAAAGUCCCAAAAAGUCCCUCCCAUAGGGACUUCUUCCUUUAGUCCCAACUACCCUAUUUUAGUCUCUAAAAGUCCCACCUGUUUCUUUCCCAUGGGACUAAAAGGGACUUUUUUUAGUCCCUACAUCAAAAAGUGCCUGGAAAGAAACACCCCCUAUAAGUUAUUAAAUGACAUGCUAAAAGUAGGUACACUGUUUGAAAAAGUCCCCAAAACACUCUCCCUUUGGGACUUCUUUCUUUACUCCGAAAUACUCACUUUUAGUCUCUAAAAGUCCCUCAUGUUUGGUUUAGAUGAGACUAAAAAUAAUUUUUUUAGUCCCUACAUCAAAAAGUCCAUGUAAACAAACACCUCCUUAGUCGAUUGAUUACCUACGAAGCACCGACACUUUAGUAAUCAAAGAUUGCUUUUUAUAUAUUUUUGUCAUUUAACAAUAUCAUGUUUUUAACUUUAAAAGAUUUGCUGAAUUUAUGUUGUCAUGUUAAUAAGUACUAGCAAAAGGGCCCGUGCGUUGCAACGGGAGAAAAAAAAUACCAAACGCUUUUAAUUUUUUUAUAAUCAUUUUGAUUUAUUAAAAUAAUAAGCUAACUAAAUAAUGUAGUCAGUCAUAUCCUAUUUUGUUGAGAAAUCAACCCGUCCAUUGUUAAUUCCACCAUGAUGAGAAAUUGAGCGGGACAAGCAAAGCAAAACAAAGAGGCUACGUGAAUUGAUCAAUGGACUGCUAUCUUAUUUCACUUAUGGGGUAGAGAAUGUGGGAUGAGAUGACAAACUGAAGGUGGUGUUCCAUUCUCUCUCUCUAC